GCCGGGGUGGCGGAAUUGGCAGACGCAUACGACUCAAAAUCGUACGCCGCGAGGCAUGUGGGUUCGAGUCCCACCCCCGGCA
rnacentral:tRNA from 1 species